AGCAAGGUGGCUUAGUGGGAAAAGCACUGGCUUGGGAGCCAGAGGUCACGGGUUUGAAUCCCGGCUCUGUCA
rnacentral:tRNA from 1 species